rnacentral:rRNA from 1 species
UACGAAGGGGGCUAGCGUUGGUCGGAAUUACUGGGCGUAAAGGGCGCGUAGGCGGCGUGUCAAGUCAGGCGUGAAAGCCCCGGGCUCGACCUGGGAACCGCGCUUGAGACUGGCAUGCUCGAGUUCGGGAGAGGAUGGUGGAAUUCCCAGUGUAGAGGUGAAAUUCGUAGAUAUUGGGAAGAACACCGAUGGCGAAGGCAGCCAUCUGGACCGACACUGACGCUGAGGCGCGAAAGCGUGGGGAGCAAACAGG